rnacentral:rRNA from 1 species
UACGUAGGUGACAAGCGUUAUCCGGAAUUACUGGGCGUAAAGCGCACGCAGGCGGCCGAGUAAGUCUGACGUGAAAUCUCCCGGCUUAACCGGGAGCGGUCGUUGGAAACUACUUGGCUUGAGGCGAUGAGAGGGGUGUGGAAUUCCCGGUGUAGUGGUGGAAUGCGUAGAUAUCGGGAGGAACACCGGUGGCGAAGGCGGCAUCCUGGACCGGCAUUGACGCUGAGGAGCGAAAGCCAGGGGAGCAAACGGG